UACGAAGGGGGCUAGCGUUGCUCGGAAUCACUGGGCGUAAAGGGCGCGUAGGCGGCCAGUAUCAAGUCAGGGGUGAAAGCCUGUGGCUCAACCACAGAAUUGCCUUUGAUACUGUUCGGCUCGAGACCGGAAGAGGUAAGUGGAACUGCGAGUGUAGAGGUGAAAUUCGUAGAUAUUCGCAAGAACACCAGUGGCGAAGGCGGCUUACUGGUCCGGUUCUGACGCUGAGGCGCGAAAGCGUGGGGAGCAAACAGG
rnacentral:rRNA from 1 species